UACGGGGGGAGCAAGCGUUGUUCGGAUUUACUGGGCGUAAAGGGCGCGUAGGCGGCCACCGCAAGUCAAUUGUGAAAUCUCCGGGCUCAACCCGGAAAGGUCAACUGAUACUGCGGGGCUAGAGUGCAGAAGGGGCAACUGGAAUUCUCGGUGUAGCGGUGAAAUGCGUAGAUAUCGAGAGGAACACCUGCGGCGAAGGCGGGUUGCUGGGCUGACACUGACGCUGAGAAGCGAAAGCAUGGGGAGCGAACAGG
rnacentral:rRNA from 1 species